GCUUUACUGUAGCCUGGUAUUGGGUUCGGGCUUUGUUUGCGCAGGAUAGGUGGGAGGCUGUGAGAUUGCCCUUGUGGGGCAGUGGAGCCAACGGUGAGAUACCACUCUAACAAAGCUAGAAUUCUAACCUCUGCCGUCAUCCGGCGAAGGAACAGUAUCAGGUGGGCAGUUUGACUGGGGCGGUCGCCUCCUAAAAGGUAACGGAGGCGCGCAAAGGUUCUCUCAGGCUGGUUGGAAAUCAGCCGUAGAGUGUAAAAGCACAAGAGAGCUUGACUGUGAGACUAACACGUCAAACAGGACGAAAGUCGGCUUUAGUGAUCCGACGCGCUGCGUGGAAAGGCCGUCGCUAAACGGAUAAAAGUUA
rnacentral:rRNA from 1 species